GCCUCCGUAGCUCAACUGGCAGAGCAGGGCACUCUUAAUGCCAAGGUCAUAGGUUCAAAUCCUAUCGGGGGCA
rnacentral:tRNA from 1 species